AUGCACUUACCACUGUCUGACUUUCUCUCUCUCUCUUUCUUUCUUUCUAGCUAUCUAUCUGUUCCUCCUUUCUUUCCUCUUUCUGUACCCCCUGCCUUUGUAGAUGUGGAGAUAACUGCCUCUCCUUUAGCACUACAAAGCAGAUACUUGUUUCCAUGUAAUGUGGCUGCAGUCUGCUAUAGGCUUUAUGUUCAUUUCAACUUUUGUGUUGUCAUAUAUGAAAAUGAAAAAAGAUAAAUAAUAAUAAUUCUCACGUACUUUAAAAACAAAAAGUAAAAUCCAAAAGACUUAAACACAAAGAAAACAAAGUUUUAAAAUAAAAGAAGUACGCAUCAGAGUUGCCGUUUUUGCUUCUUUGCAAGCAGACAGGUGGCUUUUUUACGUCAAAUACUAAGAAACCAAAAAUCAAAAAGGGCCCUUGUCCUUGCAUUGUGGAGUAGCACCGUUACAGAGCCAUUGCAGUUUGUAAAAUAGAGGUUUUGUUGAAGUUUCUGUCACACAUGAAAUCCAUUCAUUCAUUUCAUUUUUUAUUUUUAUUUUUUUCUUUCUGUAAAAAAAAAAUAUAUAUAUAUAAAAGGUCUGGUCUUUAAAGACAUAUGUUUUGCUGCUAAUGUAGGUUUGGAAAGGAAAAAUAUCUAGAUGCAUGCUCCUUUUGCUUUUUGGCUAAGCUUUAAGAAAAAAAAGAAACAAACAAUAAACCAUUUCCCUGCCCCUGCAACAUCUUUUUUUCCCUUCUUGUUGCAAAACGGAACUUUGAAGACUGUGAAUAUAUGUUCCAAAGGACAUUUUAGCUUUUUUUCAUUUUUGAACAGACCAAUGUUAAAAGCCAAUGAUCUUUGUAAAAAAUAACAGUGCAUUCCAAAUACUACACCUGAGUUUUAAUUUCUUAAGCAAGGACUGCUUCUUUUUAUUCAAAUUGAGUCUAUAAGUCUGUUUUAUCCCAUUUCUAAGGUGACUGUAAACUGUUGUGUAACUCUGCCAUCAUGGAUUGCUGAAUAUCACCUCACCCCGAUUAUGAUGUGUUGAGAGUGAACAGAAUCCCUGCAGCCAUUAAAUGACUUUACUCGCCUGAACUAGAUCACCAAGUCAUAGUGGUUACCAAAAAUGUUCAUAAUACAACCUGUCUGGUACUUGCGCAUCUCCCUGAUCUGGUGUCAUCAUGCUUCUUGAUUUAGAACUAGUCUCAGAAUGAAAGGCUGUUCGGCAAAGCCGACUUCCCCUCCUGGAAAAGCAAGUAGGGAAUUCGUUGUCUGCAGGGUGUAAAGCCAUUUCAUGCAGGAAAUGUCUGUUGCGGGUCUGUAAGGGACAUUUUCAUUCCAAAGCAUUAUAAGAGUGGGAAAAGCAGAAUUUGUUUUAGGUGCCCCUUGUUUUGCGUGACGACAAGGUAGAAGUGUCCAAAGAGAUCCCUCACUCCAAGUCAUUGCAAUGGAAAUGGUUGUGUUUUAGCGAGAUGGCCCCCAUCCAAUCAUAAAUGGAAUUGUUAAUUUCUUUUCCAAAUCAAGUCAUUUUUGAAAUGUGUAAAAGAUGCUUUAGAGGGGCGCAAACGUAUUUGGCUUUAGUAAUGUAUCUGCACACUUGUCCAGGUGUGUAAACAAGCAUUAUGUCUUGCAGAACAAUUUGAUUGGUGUUAUUUGGUGUGCAUGCCAUUGAAAUUGGGUUUCUUUGAUCUGCAAGCUGAUCCACUCCUCUCAAUCCAUGAUAUCUAUAAUAUUGUUCAUAAUUAUUUUUGAGAAGUCUGAUAUUGUAUAGUUUAUUUUUGAAUGCUUUGCAUUGUUUUGGUCUCAGAUAAUAUCUUUUUGGUUAUUUUCAUAUAACUGUAUAUUUUAUUUUCCUUCAUUUUUAUCGGUGUCCAUUUAUAAAUUAAUGUUACAAUGCCAGCUUUAAAUUGAAAUCACAUCUAUUUGUUUUCUAUCAUUCUCUGGCCACUUUAUGGUGUUACAAUGUUCCUAUAUUUGUUUGUCUUGACACAGUUGUGUAUCUCUUGCUUCCAAAGUGUUCUCGUUUUUUAUAGGCUCUCGUGUGGGGCAGAAUCCCUCACAACUGUUUCAGCCAGCAUGGACUUUGUAUGUGGGAGCGCGAGCAUGUGUGUGUGCGUGUGUGUGUGUGUUUCAUAAGAGCCAGCAUCAGUCUGAGUUUUUAUACUUUGUAUUCUAUUUUCUACUUUCAUUUCGCACCAAAACAUACUGAAUGGCAAAGCUGAAUCUUCAGUAAAGGGUUUGACAAGUCUGAUGUUCAACACAAUAAUCUUGUAACGUGGCGAAAGAGGAUAUCGAAGCACUGAGCAGUUAUUAUUUUCGUUAAUUAUAUGAAUGUGGCCAAAGCUUCAUGCAGUUGAAAAAACACGAAAAACUUUAGUUGGUGCCCCUGAUGAGUGUAUAUUUAUUGUGGUUAAUCCAACAUGUGGCUGAGAUACAUCAACUCUCAUUGGGAUACUUGAUUUUAUUUUAAUUUUUUUUUGGACAUUUUGCAAAGAGAGAACGAAAGCGACAGGUUUUGCUGUAGAGGUCAUCCUUUUGCCCACUGUGAAAAUAAACAUGUAUACAGAUAUAGAUAUAUUUAAAGAAGACAUCAACACUUUUCUUUGAAAUGACAAAGAAGGAAAUAAAGAGAAACGAACUCUGGGGAAACUUGAGAGAUGUCAUUGAGAUGUCUGAGAAGGCUGUUGUUGACACACCAAAACUGGGCAUGGGAGCCAAAGGCAGGGCCGACGCGCCCCGAUAUCAAGUCAUUAUUUAACUAACACUAUAUGCCGACGGGAGUGGACUCUGCAACCAGUGGACAUACGUGACACGGAGAGGAAUUUAUCUCCUUUUUCUCUCUCUGGCUCUGCAUCUACUCGGACAUUUUCUGCACUUCUGAACGGGAUGGACACAAACACUCGCAUACGUUGUCUCCCAGUUCAUGGUGUUGCUACCUGUUUCAUUUCCUCCUGCCCGCUUCAGUGACUGACAUGUGGUUCCACUCUGGCGUGGAGUCGACCAGAUCCAUCCAACCAUAAAGAGUGACUUUACUGUUCAAGGGGAGGGGAUUUUCCUGGGUGUCAUUCCUGAGGAAGCAGAUAACCACAAAAAAAGCGAAUCAACCAAAAUUAAUAACCAAACUAACAAGCAACCAAACGAAAACAAAAAACAUUUGCUCCAGUUUCAACGAUGAACUGCUCCUGGAGCUUCCUGUUCUUUUAGUGGCUCCUGGUGCCACAGGAAUUUUGAUGCUUUUUGUGUUUCCUUUUUUUUAUUAUUUUUUCUCUUUCGUUCUCCUCAAAUUAUUCCUCCUCCUCCGAGCCUCACAAGCACGGCUCUGUGGCUCCAGGUAGCCCAUCCGAGGGUAGAACUUACAGCCUUGCAAUGUACAAAAAGAGCAAGUUAAACCAAAAAUGUUGUUCUUGAUGUCUUUUCUAUACUGUAGUCUUGUUAGCUUUUUGUUACUGUAAUUAUAUGAUGAAGAUUUCCAAACUGUACCAAAUUACAUGGAGACUAACAUACAUAAACCACAUGGAACUUCAGACUUUUAAAGAGAAACUUUUGUCACAAAAACCUUGUUGUCCUAGUUAAGUUGAUUGUAGAUGGUAAUUGAAUAUACUCCUUUGAAAAUAUUUCAUCAAGUAUGUUUCUUGCUCAUUGUGAUACAUUAAAAAGUAUGAGCAUAAAAGUUUACCGUGUGAUGCGUUUUUGGCAUGAUUGAAGAACACAACACAACAAAGGUCGCUUUGAAUUAAAACGCACAUUUUUGCCAUUAAAACACACAUGGAUCCAAAAAUAAGCAGCAUAGUUCAUCUGAUCAUUGGUGUGAGCUUGAUUCUGAAAACGUAAUUAACCCUAAUUGCAAUUAAUCUAAUGCAACAUGCACAUGAUUUGACAGCCCCCGAACACAAAUUCCUAGUACUCCAUUGUCUGGCUUGUAUGGUAUUCUCUGCAAGAGCAGUCACAUUGAAAUUCCUCUUAGGGAGCAUUCAUGAACAUGAUUAAUUAAAAUAUAUUAAGCAAGAUAUGUAGACACGUAGCUAAUUAGAAGUGGCGGUUUAUGACAAAUUGAACUUGAUUAAGACCUACAAUCAAAUAUAAUUCCAAGUGAAGUUUGCUGUUAAAAGCAGAGCUCGGAGAUUCAUUUUGACUUGUGCAGAGGAUCAAAUGCAACGUUCCAGGCUAAUUCAAAGC
rnacentral:lncRNA from 1 species